AUUGAACGCUGACGGCAUGCUUUACACAUGCAAGUCGAACGGUAACAGGGUGCUUGCACCGCUGACGAGUGGCGAACGGGUGAGUAAUGCGUCGGAACGUGCCGAGUAGUGGGGGAUAACGCAGCGAAAGUUGUGCUAAUACCGCAUACGUACUGAGGUAGAAGGUGGGGGACCUUCGGGCCUCACGCUAUUCGAGCGGCCGACGUCUGAUUAGCUAGUAGGUGAGGUAAAGGCUCACCUAGGCGACGAUCAGUAGCGGGUCUGAGAGGAUGAUCCGCCACCCUGGGACUGAGACACGGCCCAGACUCCUACGGGAGGCAGCAGUGGGGAAUUUUGGACAAUGGGCGAAAGCCUGAUCCAGCCAUGCCGCGUGUCUGAAGAAGGCCUUCGGGUUGUAAAGGACUUUUGUCAGGGAGGAAAUCCCUAGUGCUAAUAACACUGGGGGAUGACAGUACCUGAAGAAUAAGCACCGGCUAACUACGUGCCAGCAGCCGCCGCAG
rnacentral:rRNA from 1 species